rnacentral:rRNA from 1 species
AGUCCGCUUUGAUGUCCCCCUCAUAGCCUGAACACGCAAAUUAACCAACCAUUUUCAUGUAACUAACAAAACAUUUUAUUAUCUCUAGUAUGUGCGACAGAAAAAGAAGUCAGAGCAAUACCUUUAGUACCGCAAGGGAAGUGUGAAAUAGAAAUGAAAAAAAUUUAAAACAAAAAAAAGCAGAGAUUAGCCCUUGUACCUUUUGCAUCAUGAUCUAACUAGAUGUAUCGAGCAAGUUGAUACCCAGUUCGCACCCCCGAAACUAAGUGAGCUACUCCGAGGCAACUUUUAGAGCUAACCCGUCUCUGUGGCAAAAGAGUGGGAUGACCUCCGAGUAGUGGUGAUACGCCUAUCGAACUUAGUGAUAGCUGGUUGCCCAGGAAAAGAAUUUUAGUUCCCCCUUAAGAACCACUAAGCACACCUAAGCAAAUCUAAUUCUUAAGUUAUAUUCAAUUAGGGUACAGCCUAGUUGAAAAAGGACACAACCUCUACCUUAGGAAAAUGACUAAAUUUUUUAAUUAUAUGACUAAGUUGGCUUAAAAGCAGCCACCUUUCAAAGGGCGUCUAAGCUUCAUCUCCAUUUACCCCAAUUCAAUUAUUUUCUCAGAACCCAACACCCCUACUGGGCUUUUCUAUAAUCAUAUAGAAGUAAUUAUGUUAGAACUAGUAACACAGAAAUUUUCUCUUGCAUGCAAUCUUAAGUCAGAUCGAAUACGUCACUGACAGUUACCCAGUUUGAGUACAAAGUAGUAACGCCACCAGAAAAUCCUACUAACAAUUCUGUUAACCUAACACGAGUGCACGAAAGAAAGAUUAUAAGGCCAGGAAGGAACUCGGCAAACACUAGUCCCGCCUGUUUACCAAAAACAUCGCCUUUUGAUCUCUAUAAAAGGUAACGCCUGCCCAGUGACUGCUCGUUAAACGGCCGCGGUACUCUGACCGUGCAAAGGUAGCGUAAUCACUUGUCUUUUAAAUAAAGACUAGUAUGAAUGGCAUCACGAGAACUAAUCUGUCUCCCUCCCCCAAUCAGUGAAACUGAUCUCCCCGUGCAGAAGCGGGGAUGACACCAUAAGACGAGAAGACCCUGUGGAGCUUCAAAUCGAAAAUCAACUUGCUAUACUUUACCUCUCGAGGAUAUAUUCAUAUAGACUUGACUUAGAUUUUUAGCUGGGGCGGCUGUGGAGAAAAAAUCAUCCUCCACGAAACUCUAUUCUAAGGGCUACUGCCCUAAGUAAUAAUAAAUUAAUUUAAUUGACCCAAUUUUUGAUCAACGGACCAAGUUACCCCAGGGAUAACAGCGCAAUCCACUUUUAGAGUCCAUAUCGACAAGUGGGCUUACGACCUCGAUGUUGGAUCAGGGCACCCAAGUGGUGCAGCCGCUACUAAAGGUUCGUUUGUUCAACGAUUAAAGCCCUACGUGAUCUGAGUUCAGACCGGAGCAAUCCAGGUCGGUUUCUAUCUAUGACUGAACUUUUUCUAGUACGAAAGGACCGAAGAAGUAGAGCCUCUGAAUCAUUAAGCUCUAGCCUAUAAUUAUUGAACUCACCUGAAAUAAAAUUAGCCUUCUACCCCACCCCCGACAAUGGA